UAAGGAAUAUUGGUCAAUGGACGCAAGUCUGAACCAGCCAUGCCGCGUGAAGGAUGAAUGCCCUCUGGGUUGUAAACUUCUUUUAUCUGGGACGAAAAAAGGGAAUUCUUUCCCACUUGACGGUACCAGAGGAAUAAGCACCGGCUAACUCCGUGCCAGCAGCCGCGGUAAUACGGAGGGUGCAAGCGUUAUCCGGAUUUACUGGGUUUAAAGGGUGCGUAGGUGGACUAGAAAGUCAGGGGUGAAAUCUUCGAGCUUAACUCGGAAACUGCCUUUGAUACUUUUAGUCUUGAAUAUCCUGGAGGUGAGCGGAAUAUGUCAUGUAGCGGUGAAAUGCUUAGAUAUGACAUAGAACACCAAUUGCGAAGGCAGCUCACUACGGGAUUAUUGACACUGAGGCACGAAAGCGUGGGGAUCAAACAGG
rnacentral:rRNA from 1 species